AACAAGGCGUACCUGCGGACCUGCGGAAGGAUCAUUAUUUGAUCUGAAUUGGAGGCUUUUUCUGGCUCCGGCCGGAAUUGCCGCCAUUUUCCUUUGUGAACUGUUGUUAUACUGUUGUAUUUUUUUUUAAAGUUGUAUAUUUUCUCCGGAAAAUAAAAUAAAGACAACUUUUAACAAUGGAUCU
rnacentral:misc_RNA from 1 species